rnacentral:rRNA from 1 species
GUCGAGCGGAACGAGUUAUCUGAACCUUCGGGGGACGAUAACGGCGUCGAGCGGCGGACGGGUGAGUAAUGCCUAGGAAAUUGCCCUGAUGUGGGGGAUAACCAUUGGAAACGAUGGCUAAUACCGCAUGAUGCCUACGGGCCAAAGAGGGGGACCUUCGGGCCUCUCGCGUCAGGAUAUGCCUAGGUGGGAUUAGCUAGUUGGUGAGGUAAGGGCUCACCAAGGCGACGAUCCCUAGCUGGUCUGAGAGGAUGAUCAGCCACACUGGAACUGAGACACGGUCCAGACUCCUACGGGAGGCAGCAGUGGGGAAUAUUGCACAAUGGGCGCAAGCCUGAUGCAGCCAUGCCGCGUGUAUGAAGAAGGCCUUCGGGUUGUAAAGUACUUUCAGUCGUGAGGAAGGCGGCGUCGUUAAUAGCGGCAUCGUUUGACGUUAGCGACAGAAGAAGCACCGGCUAACUCCGUGCCAGCAGCCGCGGUAAUACGGAGGGUGCGAGCGUUAAUCGGAAUUACUGGGCGUAAAGCGCAUGCAGGUGGUUUGUUAAGUCAGAUGUGAAAGCCCGGGGCUCAACCUCGGAAUAGCAUUUGAAACUGGCAGACUAGAGUACUGUAGAGGGGGGUAGAAUUUCAGGUGUAGCGGUGAAAUGCGUAGAGAUCUGAAGGAAUACCGGUGGCGAAGGCGGCCCCCUGGACAGAUACUGACACUCAGAUGCGAAAGCGUGGGGGAGCAAACAGGAUUAGAUACCCUGGUAGUCCACGCCGUAAACGAUGUCUACUU